UAGCCAGUCAUCGUGAAUGUGACAAUUACAACCUGACCAGUCAGGCAGAGGACGACGACGAUGAUGAGGUGCCAUUUAAAUUGACGAGGAACCGCACUAAAAAAGGAACUCCAGAGGGCUUUGUAAGAAAUGAAUUGACAGAUUCAGAUGAAGAGAACAUCAGGGGUGUCAAGCUGCCCAAAUACCCCACUGCACCAAAAAAGCUGUGGUCCAUUCAAGCCUCUGAAGAU